rnacentral:pre_miRNA from 7 species
AUUUCCUGAUACAUGGGAAAAUGAAAGACCCCCGAAGGGAGACCCUCACUCAAGCACUCAAGCCCCGGGACAGCCGCGGACCCAAGAAGACACUGAGACCA